GGAGAACCAGAUCCAACAGAGAAUCUGUUUCCUUUAAGCCGUCCUCCCUCACUAUCCACAUAGUAUAGUCCUGGACCCUUCUCAUCCCAACCAGCAAUCAUAGUUCCAACAGACAAACCCAUUCCACGGUACGAAUAUAAAAUGUUUGCCAACAGCUUUGAAGCUCCAGUAACUGAAAUUCUCCUUUUGUUUGCCAGUUCAUGAAGACGGCACUUGAUUCCCAGGUUUCUAUGCCAGAAUUGGCAGUCAGCAGCCCCACCAGCCAUUGUGCCAAGCAUAUAGGGAUUAAUUUCAAUGAUUUUCUUCACAGAUUGAGAUGAUAUAUAUCCUCCCAUGCUAGCCCGAGAAUCAGCAGCAACCAUGACACCUCCUUUAAAAAUGAAAGCAAGGGUUGUGGUUCCCUUUGCGGGCUUCACCAUUUGGAUUGCUUCUUUUUGAAAACCAUCAAAAUUAGCAGUAUUAGGAAGAUGGAAUGAUGGAGAAUUUGAAAUUCCAUCAAACAGCUCAGAAGAUUCCCCUCGAAGUGGGGCACUUGGUUCAAGUCCACUAAAAUCGAUCUUCAUCAUUUACAACCUUAAGCUGCAAUAAGAUCUAGAUAUCGCCGGAGAAAG
rnacentral:misc_RNA from 1 species